UGAAUACGAGACGCUACGGCGUCGAAGCAGUCUAUGUCAUACUUCCAAGAAAAGCUUGCACUGUCAUAAACAAAUAAUGCCUGUACCAUAACCGACACAGGUGGGUAGGUAGAGUAUACUAAGGGGCGCGAGAUAACUCUCUCUAAGGAACUCGGCAAAAUGACUCCGUAACUUCGGGAGAAGGAGUGCCUUAUUUAUAAGGUUGCAAUAACAAGAUCCAAGCAACUGUUUAUCAAAAACACAGGUCUCCGCUAAGUCGUAAGACGAUGUAUGGGGGCUGACGCCUGCCCAGUGCCAGAAGGUUAAAGAAGUUGGUUAGCAUUAGCGAAGCUGAUAACUGAAGCCCUGGUGAACGGCGGCCGUAACGAUAACGGUCCUAAGGUAGCGAAAUUCCUUGUCGGGUAAGUUCCGACCCGCACGAAAGGCGUAAUGAUUUGGAUACUGUCUCAGAGAGGGGCUCGGUGAAAUAGACUUGUCUGUGAAGAUGCGGACUACCUGCACCAGGACAGAAAGACCCUAUGAAGCUUUACUGUAACUUGAAAUUGAAAUUGGACUUUAUUUGCGCAGUAUAGGUGGGAGGCAUUGAUAAUAUUCUUGCGGGAAUGUUGGAGCCAUCAGUGAGAUACCACUCUUGUAAUGUUAGAUUUCUAACUUUGGAUCAUUAUCUGGUCAAAGGACAGUUUCAGGCGGGCAGUUUGACUGGGGCGGUCGCCUCCUAAAUGGUAACGGAGGCGCACAAAGGUUUCCUCUGAACGGGUAGAAAUCGUAUCUAGAGUGUAAAGGCAUAAGGAAGCUUGACUGUGAGACCUACAAGUCGAGCAGGGACGAAAGUCGGUCUUAGUGAUCUGACGGUGCUGAGUGGAAAGGCCGUCACUCAACGGAUAAAAGUUACUCUAAGGAUAACAGGCUGAUCUCCCCCAAGAGUUCACAUCGACGGGGAGGUUUGGCACCUCGAUGUCGGCUCAUCGCAUCCUGGGGCGGUAGUACGUCCCAAGGGUUGGGCUGUUCGCCCAUGAAAGCGGUACGCGAGCUGGGUUCAGAACGUCGUGAGACAGUUCGGUCCAUAUCCGGUGUAGGCGUUAGAAUAUUGAGAGGAGCCUUCUUUAGUACGAGAGGACCGAGAAGGACAUACCUCUGGUGUACCAGUUAUCGUGCCAACGGUAAACGCUGGGUAGCUAUGUAUGGAGAGGAUAACCGCUGAAAGCAUCUAAGUGGGAAGCCCACCUCAAGAUAAGUAUUCCC
rnacentral:rRNA from 1 species